rnacentral:lncRNA from 1 species
ACGGAUUUUGGGAGGACGGGAGCGUCUGUGAACGGAUUUUGGGAGGACGGGAGCGUCUGUGAACGGAUUUUGGGAGGACGGGAGCGUCUGUGAACAGAUUUUGAGAGGACGGGAGAGUCUGAGAACGGAUUUUGGGAGGACGGAAGAGUCUGAGAAUGGAUUUUUGGAGGACGGAAGAGUCUGAGAACGGAUUUUGGGAGGACGGGAGCGUCUGUGAACGAUUUUGGGAGGACGGGAGCGUCUGUGAACGAUUUUGGGAGGACGGGAGCGUCUGUGAACGAUUUUGGGAGGACGGGAGCGUCUGUGAACGGAUUUUGGGAGGACGGGAGCGUCUGUGAACGGAUUUUGGGAGGACGGGAGCGUCUGUGAACGGAUUUUGGGAGGACGGGAAAGUCUGAGAACGGAUGGUGGGGAUGGAUGCACCGAAUGAUCCUGAAUCGCGCACUUCAAAGCAGAUAAAAUGG